AGCAACUGCUGUACCAUUGAGCAGCACCCCAGCUCAGGACUCGCUACUUGAGAUGGAGGCCACAUGCGUGCGGAGCUCAGACAUAGAUGGACAUCUCUAAAGAUGUAAUGAAAACAGAAACAGGACAACCUAGCCCAGAGGUAGCAUGAGCUUUGAGGAGCACAGGACAGACAUUUCUGCAUGAGCUGUGUUAAGAUGUGCCAUGAGGAUUGGAGGACCAGGGGAAGAGAGAAAAAGGCCACACCAGGAAGCAAGCCCAGUCUGGGAACCAGUGCCAUGCAUGGGCCGCUGCUGGACCAGGAACAGCCAGACCCCAGCGCCUUCCGGUGCACAG